CUGGUGUCUGAUGCUCUGAGGAACCCGGACUGUAAAAUACAGACACUGCGGCUGAACAGUGUCGGUCUCGCAGAUUCUGGAGCUGAGGAUCUCGUCUCUGCUCUCAGUAA